rnacentral:misc_RNA from 1 species
CACAAUAAAAUAUGAAGGCUGUACGCGGCUGUGCUCUCGGGCCAGUUUUUGCGGAGGCUGAAUUAUUUAUUACCCUUGUCUUUUGCGCACUUGUUGUUUCCUGGGCGGGUUCGCCCGCCACCAGGACCACAUCAUAAACCUUUUUUUAUGCAGUUGCAAUCAGCGUCAGUAUAACAAAUGUAAAUCAUUUA